rnacentral:tRNA from 1 species
UUUUUGUGUCUCAGUGGUAGAGUGCUUACCUGGAAUGUACAAGGUCCUGGGUUCAAUUCCCAGCACCUCAAAAA